CAUUUCCACAGUGAGGGUGGGAUUCUUGUUUGCUUCCGUUUGUCCCUUUAGCCUUACUUUAUGUUUUAUGCGAGCUAGUGGAAUCCGAGGCAGAACUGGGCAUUAAACGUGCCCAGACUGAGAAGCGUUGCCUGCAGUCCCAGGCAGGCGCUUUGUCCCUGCAAAGGGUUAAGCGCACUCUUGAGCUGGAACGUGCCAUCCAAGGCGUAUUCCUUGGGAGGGAGGGCAGCUCGCUGGGGGAUUUACAUAGGGGACGAGCCAUACGCACAGGCCCCCUAAAGCAGACGUGCUGAGCUCAGCGAUUUUGCAAGCCUGCUGCUGAGCAGCAAGGGAAGGGGGUUGCUGGCGGUUCCUCAGGCACCGACAGGAGGCGGAGACAAUAACAAGCGCCUCGGGGAGAUCAGCUGCUGCCGGAGUGGGCGGUGUAGGGCGGGCACCUUCCGAUGAAAUGCAUGCGGCCAUAGGGCCAGGCACGGGCGCUCCCCGACCGGCGGUGGUAGUGCAGAGAAUAACCGGGGAGCAGCAGGCCCCGGAUGGAACUUUGGAACCAGGUGGUGCUAGGAGCAGUCCGUCGGGGGGAGCUGGGAAUGCAGCAUGCCGCGUGUGGGGGAAGCUAGGGCCUAGGAGUGGGCAGAUAGGAGGAGCCCAGGGAGCAGCUGUGCUUCGGUUUCCGGCGCUACAGAUUUGCGGUGGAGGAGAACUAGUUAGUAAAUAUUCCCAUCCCAUGCCAGCUUUCCAGACCUUAGUAGUCUGGGCAGCACUUGCUGGGGUUUGUGGAGAGUUGGCUGGUCACCUGGUAUUGACUGUUUCCCAGCUAUUAAGUUGCAUUAAGACCUCUAGAAAUACAUAAAAUACUUUCCUAGGGUCUCUUUCCCUGCAAUCCGUUGCUGUAGUCGCUUCCAAGCUGCUCAUAAAGGGAAGGGGUGGGGUCUAGGAGACACACUCUAUAGGCGGGCUGGGGCAAGGAGCACAAACAGCGCCCAAGCUACAAUCGUCAUGGAGUACAUCGCUUGUGCAGGGCUGCGAGGCCAGCAGGGAGUAUCACAUCAUUCAGAUCUGGGAAGCACCCCAAGAUACAUCCUGCCAGUGAAUGCAAAGACCUGUCCCCUACUGGCAGCCAUUUGGCACCUGCAGAUUGCAAGCCUUGAACUGGCACUGAGGGGAAAUUUUCAAAAUAUCCACCCCCCAAAUUAAGGGGAUUCACAGGGAAAAGGGAAAUAAAAAUAAGGGGCAGGACAGCACAGAGGCAGUUUGCCAGCAGUGAGCCUGAAGGGAGACACCCUGCCCAGCCAGUCUCCAUCAAUACUAAUACCUGAAAGCCAGCCACCCAGCAAAAUCCCCAAAGUUAUCCUGAUAGAGAAAGUGAUCCCAAAGCUUUCAGCCUGAGGAUGGAGUGAACCCCAGCAGCUGCUCUAUUGGCUUGUACCUCCACUCAUCUGCUUCCAGUUCUUCUACUAAACCAGCUAGUUUUUCCAUCCGAGCAACUUGUUGAUCUACAAGAAGUCCAAAGAUAAACAUUGUUUGCAACAGCAUUUCACUUAAAUCUUUUAAUUAGAUGUAUUAUCCUUUGCAGCAGGGAUGUCCUUCCCUAAUAAUCCAGGCACUGGAAAACAGUUUUGCUCCACUGUGUCAGACUAGUCUGAACAUUAAAAAAAAACAUGUAUUGAUAUUUUCCCUAUAGAAGCAAAGACUUCAUCAGAUCAUACAAGAGAACAGACUUCAUUAACCUUCUUCAAGGACUAAAAAUAUAUAUGUCAAGCGUGGGACAGGAGGUGUAUCUGCAACUCUCUGAACAUACUGAGGCGCUAAUGUGGAUCAAAAACUGCAAGAGGGAAACACAAACUUAUUAGUGUAAGAAGCCGAAAACAAUGUGGGGCUAUUUUCUUUAGCAUAAAUAACUGGAGGCCUUAAAUGCAACUCACUGGUAUUUCUCUGUAUGUAUAUAACAUAACGUUUGAAUGUUGCAGCCAAUCAAUUCCAGAGAAUGUUCUAGGCAUCAAUGGCCAGAACCCUACUGAUCUGGGUGAAAACUUAAAGGGGAGAAAUUAGGGGAUACCUGGAGACCCUGCCAUCUGAUUAGUACAGCCACAGAUUCAAGUACCUCUUCUAUAGAACAAACAAUUGCUAGAUGGCAUAAUAGUAUCCCAUCUCAUCUCUGCUCAUGCUCCCAAUAGACUUUACCAUGUUGACAGCAUGAAUGACUUAUCUCCCACACCAAUAAAAAUGGGGAGUAUGGAGGUACACACAAAGUCCCUGACGUGGGGAUGGGGAAUAAGGAACACAAAACCUCUGGCAGGGGGGAGAAAUCACGGGAGCCUAGUAUGGGGAAAGGUGUUGCAGUGUAAAUGCUUCGGCUGGAGCCUGGGACCUCCCCCCUUAGGGGGUCCAGGAGCUUGGGCUCCAGCCCGAGCCUGAACAUUUACACCACAAUUUUACAGCCCCUCAGCCCAAGCCCUGAAAACCUGAUUCAGCUGACACAGGCCAGCCAUAGGUGUUUAACUGCAGGGUAGACAUGCUUAAGGCCAGAAAGUAAGUCUGUAUUACAGCCAAUUUGUAAGGUUUCUGCUCUCUGUUCAGACCUCACCGCUUGUGUGUACAGUACAGCAUAGAGCAAUGGAAAAAUGAGGUUAGAAACGCUUAUCUGCUCCCACCCCCACCGUGUGUGAAUUUAAUUCAAUAUUUGCAUCACAUUUGAAAAAGGACCCAACAAUAGCCUCACUUAGUGCUAAUUCAGGAAGUUAAUUUAAAUAGCCAUUCUGCUUUUUGUGGUUCACGGCACAGUAUGGUGCUGGCCUUUGCUAUAUCCUCCUGCAGCUUCCACAGUAAACUUAUACACACGUUCACAAAACGUACAACACUUGAGUGCUUACCAUGUUUCACUUGCUUUAAUGUAGAGGCAACCUGAUAGCUGAAAACGGAUUCACAAAGGAAUCUUUCUGAGCCAUCUGUAAACAGAAGAGAGAGUGAUUUAGUCUUUCCUAAGAGUUUUAUGACUGAGAAGCUUUCUAUAAUUUUUAUGUUCAGAAUGUGCUUUUCCUCUGCACACCUACUUUACCAGAAUAGGACAGUGUCUAAUGUGCAGCACUCUGGUCUGUGCGUCAGGAAGCCGUGGGUUGAAGUCCCACACCAGGGCUUUGACUUAUACCCAGUGCUGACACGGAAAUGGAGCACAGAGUGGGUGUGCUGCUGCUCUGUUUGGUAUCUUGGUACCCCUUGUGCCUGCUUCUCAUGGUUGCUGUCAUUGGCAUUUUGAUUAAAAGAAAAUCUUGGUCUCUGUGCCAACAGUCUUUUCCUUAAUAAAACAAACGUGAAUAAUCUACAGCCUGAGAACUGUUGCUGAGUUCAUAAAAGUUGUUGCAUUUGCCCACACAGUAAUGGCUCUUAAGAUCUAACUCUCAUCUUUAGGAAGUCUUUUGAGAUAUAGUUCGAAAGGUGCUCCAUAAAGCUCAAGUUUUCCCUAUAUUUCUGAAAAUAUAGCUAAAAAUUAGUUGAGUAGCCUUUGUAUGACAAAUGACAAUUCGCCUGUCCAAAUACAAAAUGACAUAAAAUUUCAUCCUUUAAACUACAUUGGUUUAUUGAAAGUGUAACAGAAGCACUGCGAUUUCAAUUAAGAUUUGAGGGUUCUGCAAUGCAAUUACAGGACCAAAUACUGUGUCAGUGCCAGACUGUGCCCUGAAAAAUGGUAGGAGAAUCAUAAUUGAAGACACUGUAGAAACUCAGCUGUGGAUGGCUUUUUGGAAAAUUGUAGGGUGACUGACUUGUGUUCAUAAUUGAGAAUUACUCCUCGGCUGAGGGCAGUGCAGUGCAAUAUAAAAAUAAACGUUUAGCACAGAUGGUUUGUAGAAGGUGUCUCAAUUCACAAUCUCUGCCUGAACGAAAAGGGAAGAGGCCGCUGUCUCCCUUUUUAGCUGAUAAUUCAUAUUACCACUACAGCGUGCCACAUCUCAGCCAGUCGUGCACUUUUAUCAUAUAGAAAGCACAAUGAAAGGAGACCAGGCUCUAGAGAGACGUAGUACUUGACACAAUCUGUACUUAAAAUAUAUAUAUAUAUAUUUUUAAAAAUACAAACCUUAAAGCAAGCCAUGGUCCAUCAGCCUAUCCAUUACAUAAUAGACCAUAUUGUCUUUGCUAGAUGCAAAUAUAGACUCAAUAAAUCAGAAAAGGGAUACCUA